GCAAGUCGAACGAAGUCUUCGGACUUAGUGGCGGACGGGUGAGUAACGCGUGAGAAUCUGCCCUUAGGCGGGGGACAACCAUUGGAAACGAUGGCUAAUACCCCAUAUGGCGGGAGCUAAAAGCUUAAUGUGCCUGAGGAUGAGCUCGCGUCUGAUUAGCUAGUUGGUGGGGUAAUGGCUUACCAAGGCGACGAUGGUUAGGUGGUCUGAGAGGACGAUC
rnacentral:rRNA from 1 species